CACGUAGGGGGCAAGCGUUGUCCGGAUUUAUUGGGCGUAAAGAGCUCGUAGGCGGUUCGGUAAGUCGGGUGUGAAACCUCCAGGCUCAACCUGGAGUCGCCACUCGAUACUGCUGUGACUAGAGUCCGGUAGGGGAGCGUGGAAUUCCUGGUGUAGCGGUGAAAUGCGCAGAUAUCAGGAGGAACACCAGCGGCGAAGGCGGCGCUCUGGGCCGGAACUGACGCUGAGGUGCGAAAGCGUGGGGAGCAAACAGG
rnacentral:rRNA from 1 species